rnacentral:rRNA from 1 species
AGCGUCGGGCCCAUACCCGGCCGUCGCCGGCAAUCAGGAGCCGCGAGGUCUAUGCCACGACGAGUAGGAGGGCCGCCGCNGUGGGCACGGAAGCCUAGGGCGUGGGCCCGGGUGGA